rnacentral:tRNA from 1 species
GGGCCCUUAGCUCAGCUCGGUAGAGUGCGCCCUUGGCUAGGGUGAGGCCGCGGGUUCGAAUCCCGCAGGGUCCA